AGGACUACUGUAAAAAUGAGGCAGGUAC
rnacentral:piRNA from 1 species